rnacentral:tRNA from 1 species
GAGGAAGUAGCUCAGUUUGGUAGAGCAAUGGUUUACUCUUCGCCCUAUGGCAAAAAGAGUUCCUAUUUCAUUUCUAAUGCAUGUGUCGCAGGUUCGAAUCCUGUCUUCCUCACCA